AACGCGAAGAACCUUACCUGGGCUCGAAGCGCAGUGGACCGGGGUAGAAAUAUCCCUUUUCGCAAGAACUGCUGCGGAGGUGCUGCAUGGCUGUCGUCAGCUCGUGUCGUGAGAUGUUGGGUUAAGUCCCGCAACGAGCGCAACCCUUAUCGUCUGUUACUAACGCGUCAUGGCGAGGACUCGGGCGAAACUGCCUGGGAUAACCAGGAGGAAGGUGGGGAUGACGUCAAGUCCUCAUGGCCUUUAUGUCCAGGGCUACACACGUGCUACAAUGGCCGGUACAAACCGUCGCAAACCCGUGAGGGGGAGCUAAUCGGAAAAAGCCGGCCUCAGUUCGGAUUGGAGUCUGCAACUCGACUCCAUGAAGCUGGAAUCGCUAGUAAUCGCGGAUCAGAACGCCGCGGUGAAUACGUUCCCGGGCCUUGUACACACCGGCUAC
rnacentral:rRNA from 1 species